CUUCUGGGUGUGGGUGAUUAAUGCGUAAAUCCUGAAAGUAUUUGUAACCAUUCUUAGACCAUUUCUAAAUAUUCAACCCUUUACUCAUUCAGUUAUGUUGUAGGUGACAGUGGGUAUCCGCUGAAACAGUGGCUGCUCACACCAUUUAUGAACCCCCAAAUGCCUGAGGAGACCACUUACAACCUGCGCCACAGCCAGGCGCGCGCUGUUGUGGAGCGCACCAUCGGGCUCCUGAAGGGCAGAUGGCAUUGUCUGGAUGCCACGGGGGGAGCGCUAUGUUACAGACCCGAAAAGGUCUGUAGGAUUGUUAGGGCCUGUGCUCUGCUGCACAAUGUGGCACAGCUACAAAACGUGCCUUUGCAAGCUGAAGAGGUCAACCUUGAUCUCGACCCCGAUCCCUAUCCCCAGGCAUUCCACCCAAACGCAGGAGCCGUGCGCCAGCGCGAGGAAGUGAUGCGCCGCUUGUAAAUAAUUAGCACUGCAUCUGUUAGGACACGGGCGCUGGUGGCUGGUUUCGGCAUGGAUGCACAUGCAUCGGAGGCCGUGGACGUCCUUGGGACCUCCGCUGCCGCAGCCGACACACUGUUGGCCUCACUGGCACACCCAGCAACUGUGAGGGAAUUUUUUUGUUAAUAAAAUACUUUUUCUGGA